rnacentral:rRNA from 1 species
GACGAACGCUGGCGGCGCGCCUAACACAUGCAAGUCGAACGGAGCUGCGAGAAGCUUGCUUUUCUUAGCUUAGUGGCGAACGGGUGAGUAACGCGUGAGUAACCUGCCCUGGAGUGGGGGACAACAGUUGGAAACGACUGCUAAUACCGCAUAAGCCCACGAUCCGGCAUCGGAUUGAGGGAAAAGGAUUUAUUCGCUUCAGGAUGGACUCGCGUCCAAUUAGCUAGUUGGUGAGGUAACGGCCCACCAAGGCGACGAUUGGUAGCCGGACUGAGAGGUUGAACCGCCACAAUGGGACUGAGAACCGGCCCCGACCCCUACGGGAGGCAGCAGUGGGGGAUAAUGCAAAAUGGGGGAAACCCUGAUGCAGCGACGGCGGGUGGAGGAAGAAGGUUUUCGGAUUGUAAACUCCUGUCGUUAGGGACGAUAAUGACGGUACCUAACAAGAAAGCACCGGCUAACUACGUG